rnacentral:rRNA from 1 species
CCUGGUUGAUCCUGCCAGUAGUCAUAUGCUUGUCUCAAAGAUUAAGCCAUGCAUGUGUAAGCACACACUGUUUUAAAAGUGAAGCCGCGAAUGGCUCAUUACAACAGCCACAGUUUAUUAGAACUUACAAUCAUGGAUAACUGUGGUAAUUCUAGAGCUAAUACACGCACAAAAACUUCAACUGAAUUGGUUGAAGUGCUUUUAUUAGAACAAAAACCGAACGGCGUUUGGCGAAUGUUGAACGUCGAAACUGUUUGGUGAAUCUGAAUAACUAUUUCUGAUCGCAUGGUCUAGCACCGGCGACAUCACUUUCAAGUGUCUGCCUUAUCAACCUUCGAUGGUAGUCUAUGCGACUACCAUGGUGAUAACGGGUAACGGAGAAUCAGGGUUCGACUCCGGAGAGGGAGCCUGAGAAACGGCUACCACAUCCAAGGAAGGCAGCAGGCGCGCAAAUUACCCACUCCCAGCUUGGGGAGGUAGUGACGAAAAAUAACGAGACGAUUCUCGUUUGAGAAACGUUAUCGAAAUGAGUACGCUUUACACACGCUAACGAGUAGCAAUUGGAGGGCAAGUCUGGUGCCAGCAGCCGCGGUAAUUCCAGCUCCAAUAGCGUAUAUUAAAGUUGCUGCGGUUAAAACGCUCGUAGUUGAAUUGUGGUCUUAGACAACAGUCCCCCUACAUAGGUGUGGCACGGUUGCUCGAGAUCUUCAUUCGUGGUUGCUGUUGUUGCUCUUCAUUGAGUGUAAAAAAUUAGAGUGCUCAAAGCAGGUUGUGAUGCCUGAAUAAUGGUGCAUGGAAUAAUAGAAUACGAUCUCGGUUCUAUUUUGUUGGUUUUCGAACCGGAGAUAAUGAUUGAAAGGAACAGACGGGGGCAUUCGUAUUGCUGCGUUAGAGGUGAAAUUCUUGGAUCGCAGCAAGAUGAACAAUUGCGAAAGCAUUUGCCAAGAAUGUUUUCAUUAAUCAAGAACGAAAGUUAGAGGUUCGAAGGCGAUCAGAUACCGCCCUAGUUCUAACGGUAAACUAUGCCAACCAGCGAUUCGCCGAAGUUCAUUUAAGACUCGGCGAGCAGCUUCCGGGAAACCAAAGUGUUUCGGUUCCGGGGGAAGUAUGGUUGCAAAGCUGAAACUUAAAGGAAUUGACGGAAGGGCACCACCAGGAGUGGAGCCUGCGGCUUAAUUUGACUCAACACGGGAAAACUCACCCGGCCCGGACACUGGAAGGAUUGACAGAUUGACAGCUCUUUCUUGAUUCAGUGGGUAGUGGUGCAUGGCCGUUCUUAGUUGGUGGAGCGAUUUGUCUGGUUAAUUCCGAUAACGAACGAGACUCUACCCUAUUAAAUAGUGACAGUAUUGUAUUUUUUGUGCUGAUCACUUCUUAGAGGGACUGGCAAAUUGAAAGCUGCACGAAAAAGAGCAAUAACAGGUCUGUGAUGCCCUUCGAUGUCCGGGGCUGCACGCGCGCUACAAUGAAAGCGUCAACGUGAGUUACGUCCUUACCUGAAAAGGUUUGGCAAUCGAAUGAAACGUUUUCUUGAAUGGAAUAGGGAAUUGCAAUUGUUUCCCUUGAACGAGGAAUUCCCAGUAAGCGUGAGUCAUUAGCUCGCGUUGAUUACGUCCCUGCCCUUUGUACACACCGCCCGUCGCUACUACCGAUUGGAUGAUUUAGUGAGGUGUUUUGACUGGCGCCAGUAGUCGGAUGUAUUCGGCUUCGCGCCGGGAAAUUUCCCAAACCAAAUCAUCUAGAGGAAGUAAAAGUCGUAACAAGGUUUCCGUAGGUGAACCUGCGGAAG